GUCUAUGGCCACACCACCCUGAAUGCGCCCAAUCUUGUCUGAUCUUGGAAGCUAAGCGGGAUUGGGCCUGGUUAGUACUUGGAUGGGAGAGAAUUAUAGUACAGUACUCC
rnacentral:rRNA from 1 species